rnacentral:rRNA from 1 species
GAUGAACGCUGGCGGCGUGCCUAAUACAUGCAAGUCGAGCGAACAGACGAGGAGCUUGCUCCUCUGACGUUAGCGGCGGACGGGUGAGUAACACGUGGAUAACCUACCUAUAAGACUGGGAUAACUUCGGGAAACCGGAGCUAAUACCGGAUAACAUGUUGAACCGCAUGGUUCAACAGUGAAAGACGGUCUUGCUGUCACUUAUAGAUGGAUCCGCGCCGCAUUAGCUAGUUGGUAAGGUAACGGCUUACCAAGGCAACGAUGCGUAGCCGACCUGAGAGGGUGAUCGGCCACACUGGAACUGAGACACGGUCCAGACUCCUACGGGAGGCAGCAGUAGGGAAUCUUCCGCAAAGGGCGAAAGCCUGACGGAGCAACGCCGCGUGAGUGAUGAAGGUCUUCGGAUCGUAAAACUCUGUUAUUAGGGAAGAACAAAUGUGUAAGUAACUAUGCACGUCUUGACGGUACCUAAUCAGAAAGCCACGGCUAACUACGUG